rnacentral:rRNA from 1 species
AUACGGAGGGGACUAGCGUUGUUCGGAAUUACUGGGCGUAAAGAGUUCGUAGGCGGACUGAUAAGUAAGAGGUGAAAUCCCAGGGCUCAACCCUGGAACUGCCUUUUAAACUGUCAGUCUAGAGACCGGAAGAGGUUAGGGGAAUACCUAGUGUAGAGGUGAAAUUCGUAGAUAUUAAGUGGAACACCAGUGGCGAAGGCGCCUAACUGGUCCGGUACUGACGCUGAGGAACGAAAGCGUGGGGAGCAAACAGGAUUAGAUACCCUAGUAGUCC